GACGAACCGAGCGAACGUUGUUCGGAAUCACUGGGCUUAAAGGGCGCGUAGGCGGGUACUCAAGUCUGUGGUGAAAUCCUCCGGCUCAACCGGAGAACUGCCAUGGAUACUGGGUGUCUCGAGGGUGGUAGGGGGUAUGCGGAACUAUCGGUGGAGCGGUGAAAUGCGUUGAUAUCGAUAGGAACUCCGGUGGCGAAGGCGGCAUACUGGACCACUUCUGACGCUGAGGCGCGAAAGCCAGGGGAGCAAACGGG
rnacentral:rRNA from 1 species